AACCUCAUCAACCAGAAGGGAUUCCUUCUGGUUGAUGAGGUAUAACAACCUCAUCAACCAGAAGGGAUUCCUUCUGGUUGAUGAGGUA
rnacentral:miRNA from 1 species